CGAUGUUCUCAGGGCGGGGUGAAAAUCCCCACCGGCGGUAAGGGUGACGUAGCCCAAGCCCGCGAGCGCCUUCUUCUCGUCCAGACUUUCUUGGGGCGCGAAGGAGGGUCAGCAGAUUCGGUGUGACUCCGAAGCCGACGGUUAUAGUCCGGAUGAAAGAGAACGGUU
rnacentral:ncRNA from 2 species